GGGAAACGCCCGGUCCCAUACCGAACCCGGAAGCUAAGACCCACUGCGCCGAUGGUACUGCACUCGGGAGGGUGUGGGAGAGUAGGUCACCGCCGGAC
rnacentral:rRNA from 1 species